rnacentral:lncRNA from 1 species
UAGACAAUGAUUAUGAUGAUAAAUUAUCUGCUAUAGAUUUACAAGCUAUUUCAAAGAAUUAUGGAUUAAAAUUGUCUCCAGAGGAUAUUGAUGGUAUGAUCACUGAAGCCAAUAGAGAUGGAACUGGUUUAAUAACAUUACAAGAAUUUAUUGAAGUUAUGCAAA